ACUGCUAUAUUCCUAAAGUUGUACCUAUGAAGUUUGCAUUCAUUAAAUAAAAGCUUUAAAAGGGGGGGGGGGUGGUUCCCACCAGUUCCCACCAACAGUCAUGCCAGGGAUUAGUGUGUGCACUGACAUAACACUCAGCAAGGCAACAGUGUUUAAUCUCCUGAGUCAUCUUAUGGCUUCCGGGAGGAGAGGACUUAAGACUCAUGGCCCAAGGACAGUGGCCACACCCUCUUGAAGCAUAGGAACUCACAGGUACCUCCCCAGGGCACAGUCUGCAGGCUCAGCCAUUUAUAAAGCCACAAUUACCUUUUAAAUUUAAUUAAUGUGCCUUGUUUUUCCUUUCUUCUUCCAUUACAUAUUUUACUUGUGUGCUCUCCACCCAGAGUUGUGGGUAUUUGUCUGGUUUGGAUUUCUUUUCUGAUUUCUUGGUGAGUUUCUGCAUCGCCCUAGGAUUUGGCUAUGUCCAGAAAGCAUGAGCACAUCGUUAUUUUUUUUUUUUUAAAGAUUUAUUUAUUUUUACUUGAAAGUCAGAGUUACACAGAGAGAGAAGGAGAGGCAGAGAGAGGUCUUCCAUCCACUGAUUCACUCCCCAAUUGGCUGCAAAGGCCAGAGCUGCACCAAUACAAAGCCAGGAACCAGGAGCUUCUUCCAGGUCUCCCACGCGGGUGCAGGGGCCUAAGGGCUUGGGCCAUCUUCUACUGCUUUCCCAGGCCGUAGCAGGGAGCUGGAUAGGAAGUGGAGCAGCCAGGACUCGAACUGGUGCCCAGAUGGGAUGCUGGCACUGGAGGUGGUGGCUUUACCCACGAUACCACAGUGCCAGCCCCAAGCAUAUCAUUAUUGAUACUGAUUAUUCAUCUUUUUUUUUUUUUUUUUUGACAGGCAGAGUGGAUAGUGAGAGAGAGAGAGAGAGAGAGAGAGAGAGAAAGGUCUUCCUUUUGCCGUUGGUUCACCCUCCAAUGGCUGCCACGGCUGGUGCACUGUGGCCAGCGCACCGCGCUGAUCCGAUGGCAGGAGCCAGGUGCUUCUCCUGGUCUCCCAUGGGGUGCAGGGCCCAAACACUUGGGCCAUCCUCCACUGCACUCCCUGGCCACAGCAGAGAGCUGGCCUGGAAGAGGGGCAACCGGGAAAGAAUCCGGCACCCUGACCGGGACUAGAACCCGGUGUGCCAGCUCCGCAAGGCGGAGGACUAGCCUAUUGAGCCGCGACGCCGGCCGAUUAUUCAUCUUAUAUGUCGACCAUAGGCUCAAAGAGCUGGCAGGAAGUUGGAGACAUCUUAGUGUAGUGGUCAUUGAUCCCGCUAGGGAAAUUGCCCAGUCUCCCUUCUUUCAGGCAGAAUUGCCUUUAAAGUUCUUUUACAUGUUUUAUGGAUAAGGUUUGCAAAGGCCAUGUCACAUAUUCCAGAACAUUCAGUGCAAUCGAUUCACCUGAUUUCCAGGGACAAAUUGAUGUCUUAGGCUUUUUGCUUUCUUAUCCUGGCAAGGAAUAAUGUGAAGUUGCCAGUUGAAAAAUUCAUGUCGGCCGGUGCCAUGGCCCACUUGGCUAAUCCUCUGCCUGUGGCACUGGAAUUCCAUAUGGGCACCGGGUUCUAGGCCCAGUUGCUCCUCUUCCAGUCCAGCUCUCCGCUGUGGCCCUGGAAGGCAGUGGAGGAUGGCCCAAGUGCUUGGGCCCCUGCACCCACAUGGGAGACCAGGAGGAAGUACCUGGCUCCUGGCUUUGGAUCGGUGCAACGCCGACCGUAGCAGCCAUUUGGGGAGUGAACCAACAGAAGGAAGACCUUUCUCUCUGUCUCUCUCUUUCUCACUCUCUGACUCUACCUGUCAAAUAAAUAAAAAAAAAAGAAGAAGAAAAAUUCAUAUGUGAAACACUAAGGGGUCUAUAAUGCAUAGAUUCAGAAUGCCAUGACAUGGCAAUGGUCACCUCACCCAUUGUAUAAUUUCUAUUGAACAGUAUACCCCUGUAGAGCAGGGGUAUACUGUGAGCGGAUCUAAGUACAGUUCUCAGAAAUAGCUAUGGGACAUCUGGCAUUCAGCCUUAUCAGCUAAUUUAUGGGGCAUUAGGGGACCAUGGCCCUCAGGGUGAGGUUGGCAAGGAGUAAUCUGAUAUGGUUAGGGAUAGCACUGUACUUGCACGCACUGGGCAGCAGUGUGGAGGCUAGGCUUGUCCUAGUUGAGGACACUGGAUAGGUUUACCAGUUGAGGUAAACGCUUAACAGGGCAGAGGGACCUCAUUCCAGGGCUGCAGUCAGAAGGAAGUAAUAAUGAAAAAAUACUAACAAAACAGCCUGAUUGAUGAAAUGCAUUUAAAAAAAACCACAGUGGGUAGGCUGGAUAGGCCCCCCUUCCUCCUAGUCAGGGUGUUCACCCUGUGGGUGGGUGAGGGCUAGGCCAGAGGGCUCCAGCAUGAGGGUAUUAGUCACCAGAGACGGGGGCAAGAGGCUGCAAGGAGAGAGAAGAAAGGCAGGGAGUCAGAAAGCGGUACUGGAAGGCAAAGUUUACUGUCUUGCCAAAGGUCAGAGGGGAGCGUUUCUUCAGCCAAUCUGUGAUACGCAUCGCAUUCAUGAGAGCUCCUUCACUCUAUACCCUUCUGUCCUACAUGGAACGGUGAGGUGUCUGGUUAGGAGCUGUCCAAUUGCAAGGAAGACACCCACUCAAGCUUGUGCAAGGACAGCUCAGGGGAGGGGAAUUACUAAAGCUAGAGAGACAUCUCCCAGAAUCCAAACCAUGGGCCUCACAGGAGUCUGACUCAUGGCAGGCAGUGUGGCAUGUGCUUUCUUUCUCUCCUCCAGGGACUGUGCAGCCUCGUGCCUCUGUUGCUCCCUGCACAUGGCAGUGGUCACAUGUCUGCACAUCGGCCACCUUCUUGAGGCCUCUUGCAUGGGCUUUGGGUUACCACCAGAUGACUUCGUCUUGACUCUCCAUCUAAUUACAGUGGCAGUGUCUUCGAAUAGAGAUCUUUGAAAGAAAAACUGAUUGGCCCGAUGUUUGCCCUUGGGCCAAUCAGCUGUGCCAGAGGGUAGAAGCCCAGGACAAAGAGUGUGGGUAUGCCUGCUGUGUUCUCUGCACCUAGCAAGCCUCGGAGAGCCUGGACCAGGAACCGCUCAGCUUAUCUCCCUCCAUCUUCGGGAUUAGAGCUGUUAUUUUCUCCUAUUUGUUAUUGGACCUAACUCCCUAUUUAAUAAGCCCGCUUCUUUCUAUACUUCACACAAGACAUGGAAAGGGAUAAGGUGGAUUAAAUAUCACUCCUGGUUUUAUCACUAGGAGUCAGAUGUCUGUGGGUAGCUCCAGUUCUUGGCCUUCAUUCCUUCACCUCUAGAAUGGGCAGAAUACUGUGGACCCUACAGGAUAAUGUAUUUAAGGCACGCAGCGAAGUUCCUGACACGUCAUCAUCAUGUGGCUAAUGCUCAUGUCCUCCCCUCUCAUGCCCACUCAGCCUCCACUGUUGGGGCCAUGGCUAGCUGACAUUUCUGAGGGUGACCCCAGCUUAGCAUUUUAGAACAAACAGGACACUCGUUGGCUGUGGCUGCAUAAGCAGCUUAAAGGCAGAAACAAGUCUGAUGUCAGUGGUGAGAGAGCAUAGCAGCCUCUCGAUUAGGCACAUAGUAGAUUCUUUGUUUCUAAUUGUGGUGAAAUACACAUAACAUUUACCCUCUUACUUUCUUUUAGUUGUACAGUUAUUCAAUGCAUUCAUAAGGCCUUAUACCCAUCACCACCGCCUAUUGAUAGAACGCUACAUCUUGUAAAACAGAAACUCUGUACCAAUUAAACAAUAACACCCUCUUCUCCACUCCCCACAGCCUCUGGCAAUGACCAUUCUACUUUCUGUCCCUCUGAGUUUGCCUACUCUAAGUACCUCAUUUAAGUGGAAUCAUCAAUGUUCACAAUUUUAUGACUGCCUUAUUUCUCUAUGUCUUCAAGACUUAUCAACAUUGUAGCAUGUGUCAGAAUUUCUUUCCCUUUUAAAAAAUUUAUUUUCAUUUUAUUUGAAAAGCAGAGAAAGGAAGAGACAGAGACAGACAGACAGGGAUCUUCUGUCCACUACUUCACUUCCCAAAUGCCCCCAACAGCUGGCGCUGAACUAGGCUGAAACCAGGAGCUGGGGACCCAGUAUGGGUCUCUCAGGUAGGUGGCAAAGACCCAAUUUUUGGGGCCAUUACUGCUGUCUCCCAGAAUGCACAUGAGCAAGAAGCUGGGAUUGGAAGUGGGGGGUGAGAAUUGCACUGAUGUACUUCAAUCUGAAGUAUGAGUGAUUUAAGCACUGUGCCAUAUACCUGUCCCCCUUUCCUCUUUAAAGCUGAAUACCAUAGCAGUGUAUGUCUAUAAUUCAUUUUGUCCAUUGAUGGACAAUUUAAGUUGUUUUCAAAUUUUGGCUACAGCAAACAAUGUUGCUAUGAACAUUAUGGUGUACAAUUACCUAUUUGUAUGCCUAUUUUCCAUUCUUUAGAAUCAUACAAAAAUUUUUAUUUUUAAUUUUCUGAGAAACUGGCCUACAGUUUUCCAUAGCAGCUGAACCAUUUUACAUUCCUACCAGCAAUGCAUAUGGGUUUCAAUUUCUCCAUAUCCUCAACAGCACUUGCUAUUUUCUGCUUUUAUUUUUGGUUUUUUUUUUUUUUUUCAAUAAUAGCUAUCCUAGUGGGUGUAAAUAUAGUAGGUUCUUAGUAACUCUCCAUUGCCUUGGAUUUUCCAUUCACACUCAACUCAUUACAUCCUCCAUGGCAGCAGUUAAACAAUCCCCUUUGGCAGGGUCCCAUGGGCAGCCCAAGAGAGCCUUAUGCUUGUGGAGUCUGUGUGGCCAGGGUGUGCUGGGAGCCACAGCAGAGCUAAAGACCUGCGGGAAAUAGCCUUGGUCCCCUACAAUUCUAGGUCUUCUGAUUGAUUGGGCAUCCUGCUCCUCCCAGAAUCACAUCCUGGGAGAUCAGAGUAACCUUUAAUCAGAACUCUCUGUAAGUCUAUCUCCUAAUAUCCUAAACUCCUUUGUGGCACCUAUUGGAAUUAUAGCUAUAUAUUUUCUGGCUUAUUGGAUUUCUGUCUGCCUCCUCCAUCUGACAGGAAGCUUUAGGAGGGCAGGGGCCAUGUCUUUCUUCAGCAUCUAGCUCGAUGCCUGGCAGACAGUAGAUGGUCAGCAAGAAGUGAUUGAAUGACUGAUUCUGACUUCUCCCUUCAUUCCUUCAGGUCAGGGUCUUCCAGGCCAAAGGGAUCAAUAGGAACAAACAGGACCAGAUCUCUAUGCCCAGAAACUGUUGUGGGGAUCGGGACCCCCAACUGUGUUCAGGUAGACCCCUGGCUAGACUUAGUCCAGGUUCUGUCCCCUGCAUGUUGGAAUACAACUAGGGAAUGUCAAUAGAAAUGAGUAGGGAAGCAAGAUUUAUUGAAAGGCAAGGGGAUAGUACACACUCAGAGGAGAGUGCAGAAAGCCUCCUGAGGGAGAAUUUCCCUUGCCCAGGCUGGAGUCCUCCUUUAACAGGAUAAUGGAUGGUGCUCCAGGCACAGUCUGAUUGAAUGUUCAAAGGAGGAAGGGUUUGGAGUGGGGCUGCAGUGCACAUGGUAAGCUCCAAGAAGGUGUCAUGGUAUCUUGUGCAUGAUGGGAAGUGAGGUUUAGCUGCAUGAGGAGGUAUGGCUGUGCCAAGCCUUCAUCAUGUUGAAUCUGCAUGGAAGGUGAUAGCAUUUGGACGCUGCCGGUGGCCUGGGUGCUGGCCGACCUCAUCUCCUUGUGUUAUUAGCUACCUGUCUACCUGUCUACCUAUAUCGAAACUACGUGACUGAUCUUGGUUAUUAAGAAUGUCAGGAAUUCCCCAGGCUUCUGGGAUCCAUGAAGCUGCAUCUCAAAGGAGGCCAGAAGGCAGGGGAGUCCCAGGCUCCCUUUAACCUUGACCUGGGGCUUUGUCUUUUAAUGGCAAGAAAUCUCUCUGAAUCUGUUUCCCCAGCUGUGAAGUGGGAAUGAGACCUACCUCAGAAUCACAUAUGAUGGUAGAAGAGUAUUUAAGGUGCCUGUUUUAGUCUUACCCUGCCUCUGGAAGCACAUUGCAAAGAGAAAAAAAUCAGGUUGGAUUAGAGACUAAAGAAAGAUGAAGUUUUCAGAUCAAGUGGUGACCACUGACACAGCACCAGUAAGCUGUCCUUUCAGGUAGUGAAGCUGUGAAUCUGGAAAAGAGGUGGACAUUGGGUUCACUUUUGCCCAACAGUUAGUCAGUCUGAUGAAAAGAAGGCAGACCACUUUACUAUAUUUUACCCUGUUACUCCAUUUGACGAUUAUUUGUUUGUGUGCCAGAUUAUUUACAGCAGCAUUGUACAAUAGAACUUUCUAUGAUGGUGGAACUAUUCAAGAUCUGCCCUGUGCAAAAGGGGACCCACUAGCCAUGUGGAAAUGUGGCCUGGGACAGGAAUUGAAAUGUUAACAUUAACCUUAAUUUCAAUAUACAUAACCACAUGUAGGUCCUGACAACCACAUGGGAGCGCACACACAGUGGCAGAACAGUCACAGUAGCUGACUGUCCUUGUGUGGCUCUCAGUGUUGCCAGAAUCUCUACACCUCAUCUGUAAAAUGGAGAGGGUAAUGGUGCCUUGUUUGGAACACAGUUGCAUGAGCUGAAUGCAACUGAAAAUACCUAGACAGUGCUUUAAGCCUUCAUUGCUACUUGGGUCUUGUGGCGAUUUGGGCCUAGGUGAUAAUGAUGCCUUCCUCUGAUACCACCUCUACCAUUUAUUCACUUCAUUUUUUUUUAAAGUUGCAUUCAUUCUCCAUUUUAUUUGAAAGGUGAAGAGGCAGAGAGAGCAAGAUCAUUUAUCUGCUGAUUCACUCCCCAAAUGCCUACAAUGGUUAGGUUUGGGCCAGGCCAAAGCCAGGAGCCAGGAACUCAUUCUGGGUCUCCCAUGUGGGUAUUGCUUCCCAGGGUGCACUUUAGCAGGAAGUGGGAUUCAAAGUGGAAGUGGGGUAGUUGGGACUCAAAUCAGGCACUCCAAUAUAGGAUGCAGGUGUCCCAAGCAGUGACUCAACUCCUGGCAAACACCCACCGCAUCCAGUGCUUACACUGUGCCUCACACCUGUGUGUGUCCUAGCUUACUGAAUCCUAAGAGCACUUUUUGGAAGUAGGUAUUGUAUCACCUUCAUUUUCUCUAUGAAGAGGCUGAGGCAGGUAGAACUGUGGGCUUAGCUGGACUCCAGGUUAUCCUUGUGUACUCCCUGGGCUCAGAGUGGAUGAAGAAAUCCCGUACCACUGGUGCCUGCCCAAUCAAGUUCAAGGAAUGCCUGCCUCUCCCCGCCUUCUGAACAGUGGGUUGGGGUCAUUGGGACUCAUUGGGAAAGAGGAAGUGAGUAUACCAAGAACAAAAGAACUUGAAAAAAAAGAAAGAAAAAUAAAACCCAGCCUUCUUGGGAAAGCUUGCCACAGGAUAAAGAAAGCCUUUAUGUGUGAUUCAGCGGCUCAGAGGUGACAUAGCUUAGCUGUGAAUCAGUUCCCCUGAUAAGCAAGUGCAGCCAUUUUACUAGUGGAGGCUAAACCCCUAACUUACUGUAUAUAAACUAUUAAAACUCACAUGUUUGCCUGGCAGGGUGAAGCUGUACUUUAUUUUAACUCCCUUCUAGGUUUGUACCCUCAUUAUCUUUUUCAUCCCAAUAGCAUAGCUCAUAAAUGAGAAAGGAAAAAACAGCUUACUAGCUGUUUAACACUGUGCUAAAUGCUUCACUUAUGUUUACUUGUUUAAUUUUAAUUUAUUCAUUUCCUCAUCAGAGAGAGAGCAGAAAGAGGAGGUGGGAGGAGGGAAGUCAUUUUAGAGAUGAAGAAACUGAGUCUUGCAUAAGGCUCCACUGACAAACAGCAGCCCACAAAUACUCUGGAUUUGCAGAUUUUCCUCAGAGCUGCAGCAAACAACCAGCUGAACUUGCUAAGGAGCCCAGAGUCAAAGCCAUUUGCAGCGUAAGGAGGAGGGUUGAGGGGUGGGCAUUUGGCCUAGUGGCUGAGACACCUGUUAAGAUACUCACAUCCCACAUCACAGUACAUGGGUUUGAUUCUUUGCUCCGGCUCCUGACUUCAGCUCCCUGCAAUUGGAGACCCUAGAAAGCAGCGGUCACAGCUCAGGUAACUGAGUUUCUGCCACCUGUGUGGGAAACCUGGAUAGAGUUCCUAGCUUCUGGCUUCCAGCCCAGUCCAGGCCAAUGUAACUAUUUGGGGAGCAAAUAAGAGGAUGGCAGCUCGCUCUCUGCCGCUGCCUCUUAAAUAAAUAAAUAAAUAAUUUUUUAAACAAAAGAAGAGGAUGGCUGUGGAGAGUGGAUUAAAAAAGCAGAUAAUAACAGAAAUUCCACUUAAAAGACUGUUAACUGUGGGAUACUAGGGCAUGAGGGGAGAGUAAAUUCAUCUGGAAUUUUCCUAUAAGAAAAAGGAUCUAAUAAUAAGAAUCUGACUUGCUGCUUUUUUUUUUAGUUUACUUAUUUAUUUUAUAUUAUUUAUUUAUUGGAAAGGGCAACAGAAAGAGAAGAAGAGACAGAGAGAAAGAUCUUCCAUUCACUGGUUCACUCCCCAAAUAGUCACAACAGCCAGAUUUGGGCCAGGCCAAAGCCAGGAGCCUGGAACUCCAUCCUGGCCUCCCACGUGGGUGGCAAGGGCCCAGGUACUUGCCAGGUGCUUUUCCAGGUGCAUUAACAGGAAGCUAGACCAGAAGCAGAGCAGCUGGAGUUCCAAUAUGGGAUGCCGGUGCUCCUGGCGACAGCCUAACCUACUGUACCACCAAUCCCGACCUUAGUGCUUUGCUUCAAGGUCAAGGUUUUUUUGUAUGACUACUGAACUUCAUAUUCUCUUGAUACCAUUUCUUAGAGACAGAGAGGCCAAGAGGCCUGGAUCUCCUAAUGCUUGUCUGAUGGAAGCAGCUGAUGAUUCUGAUUUUAACCCAACACCUAGUAAUGUGCCCUGUGGUCUGGGCACUUCUGUGAUUUCUUGUUUGAUUUUUGCUGCAACCCUGCCAGGUGUGCAUUCUCCUCCUAUUUGAAUGAACAAUUGAGAGGCUCUUUAGACCCAAUCUCCUCAACUGAGUUCAAGGAAAUUUGCCAAGUAACAGCUUUAAUUCAUUUUCUAGCAAAUCAUGUCUCAGAAACAGAAGGUCAGAAGCCGGAGAGGUUAAGAAACUUAGGAGCCACAAUCCAUAUAUUCAAAUUCUGGCUUUGUUUCUCACUAACAAGUGACCCUAGAUAAGUUUUCACUUUAUUGUAUCUCAAAAUAACAAUAGUAAUAAUAAGAAUAUAAUGUCUACAAAACCCAUGGAAGAGUGCCUGACAGAUUGUAAGCCCUAUAUAUGGUAGCUAUUAGUUUUGGACAUUAUAUACCAAUUUUUAAAAAGAUUGAUUUGAAAAAUAAGGAGAUGGGAGAGAAUUAUUCCAUUUGCUGGUUCAUUCCUCAGAUGCCUGAAUAGCCAGGGCUAGGCCAAGUCAAAGCCAUGUAGCAGGAACUCCUCUGGGUCUCCCACAUGGGUGACAGGGACCCAAACACUUGGGCCACCUUUUGCUGCCUCCCAGGUGCAUUAUCAGGUAGCUGGAUCAGAAACAAUCCAGCAUUGCAAUAUGGGAUCCAGGUGUCCCAAGUGGCAGCUUACUCUGCUGUGCCACAGGGUCCACCCCUAGAUACCAAUUUUUACCAAUGAAGAAAUGCAGCUGCAGAAUUGGAGUAAGCAGCCCAUGGCCACACCCCUGGUAAGGGCUGUAAAAGCAGCAGCUUACACUCACCCUUAGCGUGCAACAGCUGUUAGAGCACAGAUCUGGAGAUGAAGCAAACCUGGGCUUGCAGCUUGACCCUGCAAUUUACUAGCUCUGUGAUCUCAGGCAAGUCAGUUAACGUCCCUGCACCUCCGUUUACUCAUCCAUAAAUUGGGCAUACUCAUACUUCCCUUGCAAGGGUUAGGUGUGGAUGUCUUGAUAGUGCCCAGAAUAGGCGUGGGCAUCUAAGUGCUGCAGUUAGGAUGCCACCUGUGAUGCCUGCAUUCCUUAACACAGUGCCUGGAACCGAAUGCUGGUUCUGCUUCUGAUUCCAGCUUCCUGCUCAUGCUCACCCUGGGAAGCAGCAGGUGAUGGUAGUUGGGUCGCUGCCAUUUAUAUGGGAGACUUGGAUUGAGUUCCUAGAUCCUGGCUUCAGCUUGACUUAGCCCCAGCUGUUGCAUUUGGAGAGUGAACCACAUGAUUAGAGAACUCUGUCUUCCAAAAAAAAAAAAAUUAAG